GUAACCGAGCGCAACCCUUGUCCUUAGUUACCAGCACGGUUAUGGUGGGCACUCUAAGGAGACUGCCGGUGACAAACCGGAGGAAGGUGGGGAUGACGUCAAGUCAUCAUGGCCCUUACGGCCUGGGCUACACACGUGCUACAAUGGUCGGUACAAAGGGUUGCCAAGCCGCGAGGUGGAGCUAAUCCCAUAAAACCGAUCGUAGUCCGGAUCGCAGUCUGCAACUCGACUGCGUGAAGUCGGAAUCGCUAGUAAUCGUGAAUCAGAAUGUCACGGUGAAUACGUUCCCGGGCCUU
rnacentral:rRNA from 1 species